CAGCCGCCACGGUAAUACGUAGGUGGCAAGCGUUGUCCGGAAUUACUGGGCGUAAAGCGUGCGCAGGCGGUUUUGUAAGACAGGCGUGAAAUCCCCGGGCUCAACCUGGGAAUGGCGCUUGUGACUGCAAAGCUAGAGUGCGGCAGAGGGGGAUGGAAUUCCGCGUGUAGCAGUGAAAUGCGUAGAUAUGCGGAGGAACACCGAUGGCGAAGGCAAUCCCCUGGGCCUGCACUGACGCUCAUGCACGAAAGCGUGGGGAGCAAACAGGAUUAGAUACCCGCGUAGUCCCUGUCUCUUAUAC
rnacentral:rRNA from 1 species